AUACGGAGGGUGCGAGCGUUAAUCGGAUUUACUGGGCGUAAAGCGUGUGUAGGUGGUUGUUCAAGUCAGUUGUGAAAUCCCUGGGCUUAACCUGGGAACUGCUUCUGAGACUGUAUGACUAGAGUACUGUAGAGGAUAGUGGAAUUUCCAGUGUAGCGGUGAAAUGCGUAGAUAUUGGAAGGAACACCAGUGGCGAAGGCGACUAUCUGGAUAGAUACUGACACUGAGACACGAAAGCGUGGGGAGC
rnacentral:rRNA from 1 species